rnacentral:rRNA from 1 species
GACGAACGCUGGCGGCGUGCCUAAUACAUGCAAGUUGAGCGCUGAAGGUUGGUACUUGUCCCAACUGGCUGAGCAGCGAACGGGUGAGUAACGCGUGGGGAAUCUGCCUUUGAGCGGGGGACAACAUUUGGAAACGAAUGCUAAUACCGCAUAAAAACUUUAAACACAAGUUUUAAGUUUGAAAGAUGCAAUUGCAUCACUCAAAGAUGAUCCCGCGUUGUAUUAGCUAGUUGGUGAGGUAAAGGCUCACCAAGGCGAUGAUACAUAGCCGACCUGAGAGGGUGAUCGGCCACAUUGGGACUGAGACACGGCCCAAACGCCUACGGGAGGCAGCAGUAGGGAAUCUUCGGCAAUGGACGAAAGUCUGACCGAGCAACGCCGCGUGAGUGAAGAAGGUUGUCGGAUCGUAAAACUCUGUUGGUAGAGAAGAACGUUGGUGAGAGUGGAAAGCUCAUCAAGUGACGGUAACUACCCAGAAAGGGACGGCUAACUACGUG